rnacentral:tRNA from 2 species
GGUAAAAUGGCUGAUUAAGGUGAUAAAUUGUAAAUUUAUUUAUGAAAUAUUUCUUUUACUC